rnacentral:rRNA from 1 species
CAUGCAAGUCGAGCGGAUCUUCAUUAGCUUGCUUUUGAAGAUCAGCGGCGGACGGGUGAGUAACACGUGGGCAACCUGCCUGUAAGACUGGGAUAACUUCGGGAAACCGGAGCUAAUACCGGAUAAUCCUUUCCCUCACAUGAGGGAAAGMUGAAAGACGGUUUCGGCUGUCACUUACAGAUGGGCCCGCGGCGCAUUAGCUAGUUGGUGAGGUAACGGCUCACCAAGGCAACGAUGCGUAGCCGACCUGAGAGGGUGAUCGGCCACACUGGGACUGAGACACGGCCCAGACUCCUACGGGAGGCAGCAGUAGGGAAUCUUCCGCAAUGGACGAAAGUCUGACGGAGCAACGCCGCGUGAACGAUGAAGGCUUUCGGGUCGUAAAGUUCUGUUGUCAGGGAAGAACAAGUACCGGAGUAACUGCCGGUACCUUGACGGUACCUGACCAGAAAGCCACGGCUAACUACGUGCCAGCAGCCGCGGUAAUACGUAGGUGGCAAGCGUUGUCCGGAAUUAUUGGGCGUAAAGCGCGCGCAGGCGGUUCCUUAAGUCUGAUGUGAAAGCCCCCGGCUCAACCGGGGAGGGUCAUUGGAAACUGGGGAACUUGAGUGCAGAAGAGGAGAGCGGAAUUCCACGUGUAGCGGUGAAAUGCGUAGAGAUGUGGAGGAACACCAGUGGCGAAGGCGGCUCUCUGGUCUGUAACUGACGCUGAGGCGCGAAAGCGUGGGGAGCGAACAGGAUUAGAUACCCUGGUAGUCCACGCCGUAAACGAUGAGUGCUAAGUGUUAGAGGGUUUCCGCCCUUUAGUGCUGCAGCAAACGCAUUAAGCACUCCGCCUGGGGAGUACGGCCGCAAGGCUGAAACUCAAAGGAAUUGACGGGGGCCCGCACAAGCGGUGGAGCAUGUGGUUUAAUUCGAAGCAACGCGAAGAACCUUACCAGGUCUUGACAUCCUCUGACAACCCUAGAGAUAGGGCGUUCCCCUUCGGGGGACAGAGUGACAGGUGGUGCAUGGUGUC